UACGAAGGGGGCUAGCGUUGCUCGGAUUGACUGGGCGUAAAGGGCGCGUAGGCGGUUUGUACAGUCAGGCGUGAAAUUCCUGGGCUCAACCUGGGGGCUGCGUUUGAUACGUAUAGACUUGAGUUCGGAAGAGGGUCGUGGAAUUCCCAGUGUAGCGGUGAAAUGCGUAGAUAUUGGGAGGAACACCAGUGGCGAAGGCGGCUCACUGGACCGGUACUGACGCUGAGGCGCGAAAGCGUGGGGAGCAAACGGG
rnacentral:rRNA from 1 species